CAAGGAAUAGUUUAAGGUAAAAUAUUAGUUUUGGAGAUUAAAGAUAGGGUUACUUUUCCUUGA
rnacentral:tRNA from 1 species